GUGUGAAAUUUCUUAUGUGGAUCUUCAGCCACACCAUUGCUAGAUCUUAAGGGAAAGCAAGAGUAGAUGGGAAGCUCUUCAGGAAAUGAAUUGUGCAGAAGGAAGCUGAUGAAUCACUCGGUUGGAUUUUGUGUUCUGAGUCAGAACCAGGUUACCAGCCAGCACCAAAACUGGCCUAUGGUGUAUCUUAAAGCAUAGAAAAAUAAGUAUAUUCACAGGACAAAAAUGGAGCCUGUUCCUGAGCCAUUUUUAAACCUCCAGAACAUUGCUUUGUGUUGGCAUCCACCYCCUGCACGGCGAUGCCAGGGGAGUGAAUAAACACCGGGAUACCCUGGCACUGGGAAACAUUUUUAUAAUGAUGAAAAAUGAGGAUUCCACAGACAGUGUGACUCAAGUUUUCUCUUCAAAGAUGAGUUAGUUGAAGUCUUUACUGCUGGUGCCUAAUGCUAUGUGAGAGCAGUGGGGGUUGAGGGCAAAAGCAGUUUAUUCUCCUUUUCCUCUCGGCACUGUCUGGAGAAGAGGCAGCCCACUGCUAGCACAGCUAUUCCUUUGCUGACAGCUGGGAACAAGGAAACAUGGUAUUUUGGAUAAAUGGAGCAAGCCAAGAUGCCGUGCUCCCUACACUGAGAAAAUCAGGCAACAAUCCCUUUUGUAGACCAAGAGGCUCAGCAUCAAACUCCUGCCUGCUCACCUGAGUUGUUUUUCUCCCAGCCUCUUGCCAAAAUGUCUGGAUGAUAUAAUCUCUACCUGAAAGAGUGGCAAAGCUGUUGGAAUGUUUAGUUGAGUGUCUUGGUUUGCACAGGACUGGAUAUCAGAAAUGAGAGUCUUUUGCUAAAAGCAAUUACAUGUAUUAAUUACCCCAAAUACAAUUAUUUUCUUUCUUUGCACAGAGUUGUGGACGACAAAACAUUAUUAACUUACAUGUUUUAUUUACUAAAAUCAAAUGAGAUCAAGACACAUGGCAUGUAAUUUUGUUUAGCAGUUGGGAAACAAUGUCCUACUGCACCUGCACGUACCUUUGAAGCUGAGUUACAUUACUGCAAACAGGUAGGAGUAGAAACAGAGAAGGAUAUCUGAUGUGGUAACCUGGCAGUGUGUUGCCAAGUACUUGGCUCCUAAAUAUUUAGGAGCACCAUUUCACCCAUAGUUUACAUGGUCACACUAAUUUUUACCCCAGCSCUGUAAUAGCUGUUUCGUUUUGAGAGAAAGUGUAAUCUAUGACUGACGUUAAAUAAACUCAGUUAUCACUAAGAUAACAAGUCUAAGAGAGCAUCUCAAGGUAAAAGUAUUUUAAAUGUGUGUGAUAAAACAAAACACAAAGAUCAUAAUAAUAAAAAGAAAAUAAUUUUGUGGUUCUGAUAAUUAAUUAUAUUAACUCAGCUCUGGAGGUUCAUGGCAUUCCUGAAUCUCAAAGAGUGAAUUACAGCUUUCUCUUGCACAAAGAAGGAUUUUAUACAUUAUGUAACUGAGAAGCUUUUGUUUUCCUGUAUUCCAAAUAAAAUUUCAUGAACUAAAACAAUACUUUGGAACUGGGCUUCACACAUUUCAGAGAAAUCAUUUUGCAUAACAAGAAUGAAACUGGGUUCCCAGGCAGUAAUAUUUCAUAUACAUAGUACGCAUGAAGCAAGCGGCUUCAUAUUCCUUGUGCCACAAUUUCAGUCAAUUUUUAUGCACUUUGUUCGCUCUAUAUUAUUCGGAGCUCAUUUUAGAAAGAAGGAAAUCUGCCUUGCCAGACAAUAUUGUUAUUCCAUGUGAUUUUCAGUGGAGGAAUUUGGAGGCAUUGAAAGUGUGAUAGAGUAUAACACAUAGAAAUACUACUCCCUUUCUCAUUUCCUCUGGGUAAGGAGUAAGUGGGAAAGAAAAGGACACCAGAAAGCAUACAUUACAUUGGGUGCAGGGUCAGAGCAAUGUUCAUCACCAUCAUCAUCAUCUUCAUCAUCAUCAUCUUCAUCCCAACAAGGGUACUGAAGA